UGCCAGCAGCCGCGGUAAUACGAAGGUGGCGAGCGUUGUUCGGAAUCACUGGGCUUAUAGCGCAUGUAGGCGGCUAUGAAAGCGUCGGGUGAAAUCCCUCGGCUCAACCGAGGAACGGCUUGGCGAACUUCAUAGCUUGAGGCAGGUAGGGGUGUGUGGAACUCUUGGUGGAGCGGUGGAAUGCGUAGAUAUCAAGAGGAACGCCGGAGGCGAAAGCGACACACUGGGCCUGUCCUGACGCUGAGAUGCGAAGGCUAGGGUAGCGAACGGGAUUAGAUA
rnacentral:rRNA from 1 species